rnacentral:rRNA from 1 species
UACCAGCUCUCCGAGUGGUAGGGAUGUUUAUUGGGCUUAAAGCGUCCGUAGCCGGCUUAGCAAGUCCCCUGUUAAAUUCAGCGACCUAAUCGUUGAGCCGCGGGAGAUACUACUAGGCUAGGAGGCGGGAGAGGUCAACGGUACUUCCGGGGUAGGGGUGAAAUCCUAUAAUCCCGGGAGGACCACCAGUGGCGAAGGCUGUGGACUAGAACGCGCUCGACGGUGAGGGACGAAAGCUGGGGGAGCGAACCGGAUUAGAUACCCGGGUAGUCCCAGCUGUAAACGAUGCGAGCUAGGUGUUGGGGUGGCUACGUGCCACUUCAGUGCCGCAGGGAAGCCAUUAAGCUCGCCGCCUGGGGAGUGCGGCCGCAAGGCUGAAACUUAAAGGAAUUGACGGGGGAGCACCACAAGGCGUGAAGCUUGCGGUUC